rnacentral:rRNA from 1 species
GUGCCAGCAGCUGCGGUAAUACGUAGGGCGCAAGCGUUAUCCGGAAUUAUUGGGCGUAAAGAGCUCGUAGGCGGUUUGUCGCGUCUGCCGUGAAAGUCCGGGGCUUAACCCCGGAUCUGCGGUGGGUACGGGCAGACUUGAGUGAUGUAGGGGAGACUGGAAUUCCUGGUGUAGCGGUGAAAUGCGCAGAUAUCAGGAGGAACACCGAUGGCGAAGGCAGGUCUCUGGGCAUUAACUGACGCUGAGGAGCGAAAGCAUGGGAGCGAACAGGAUUAGAUACCCUGGUAGUCCAU